UGGUCGAUCUUCAAGACAUUCCUAGUCGAACACCAAAUAUUUCUGUAGAAAAGCCAACGAACGAUAAAAAAAAUCAUGUUGCGUUGUUGCCGGUAGGUGCACUUGAUUCAAAAGUCCUGCGCAUCGGGUAAGCAAAGUGUUCCCAUGAGACAAACUCCGCCUACCAGCAAAUCGGUGACGAAAUCGAGUGCACCUACUGCGCUGCCCAAUCGAAUAGCUCAAAUCACUGUGGCUACAGAUCUUCCAUGACACUGGCCACAGCCAAGUUUAAUAGGCUACUAGCCUACGUAAGAUUUAAUAACUUAAAAAUCAUGACCACAGAGAGACUGUCAAUGAAUACAGCAAAGUGAUGCUGUUUUUAUGAAUGAGUUCAUGUUUAAGUUUAUAUUCAGCACUGUCACUGUUUUUAUUCAACACUAUAUUUUGUUAUAUGCUCGGGCUGCAACGAAUGAGUAGCCAAGUAUCGUCAGCCCUGCGUUUUAUGAUUAUUAGCAGCUCGUCGUGACGAUUUUAAUAUGAAGGAAUAUUUACCUUCUCUGGUCAUAGGAACAACAUGAAUUUGUGCAUGAGGCAGAUGCGACUCGAGUUUCGCCAUAAGGUGGAAGACUGUGUCCCCUCUCUCUGGUCAGUCUCACCGGAGGAAAGGAAGGAGAGAGCAGGUGGAAGACGGUGUCCCCUCUCUCUGGUCAGUCUCACCGGAGGAAAGGAAGGAGAGAGCAGGAGGAAGACGGUGUCCCCUCUCUCUGAUCAGUCUCACUGGAGGAAAGGAAGGAGAGAGCAGGUGGAAGACGGUGUCCCCUCUCUCUGAUCAGUCUCACCGGAGGAAAGGAAGGAGAGAGCAGGUGGAAGACGGUGUCCCCUCUCUCUGAUCAGUCUCACCGGAGGAAAGGAAGGAGAGAGCAGGUGGAAGACGGUGUCCCCUCUCUCUGAUCAGUCUCACCGGAGGAAAGGAAGGAGAGAGCAGGUGGAAGACGGUGUCCCCUCUCUCUGGUCAGUCUCACCGGAGGAAAGGAAGGAGAGAGCAGGUGGAAGACGGUGUCCCCUCUCUCUGAUCAGUCUCACCGGAGGAAAGGAAGGAGAGAGCAGGUGGAAGACGGUGUCCCCUCUCUCUGAUCAGUCUCACCGGAGGAAAGGAAGGAGAGAGCGGUUGAGAGAAAUCUCUUUAAAACGGCCAA